GACACUAUGGCCGAGUGGUUAAGGCGACAGACUUGAAUCAUCUGUUGGGCUACGCCCGCGCAGGUUCGAGUCCUGCUGGUGUCG
rnacentral:tRNA from 1 species